UACGAAGGUCCCAAGCGUUAUCCGGAUUUAUUGGGUUUAAAGGGUGCGUAGGCGGUCUAUUAAGUCAGUGGUGAAAGCCCCAAGCUCAACUUGGGAACUGCCAUUGAUACUGAUGGACUUGAGUACAUUUGAGGUGGGCGGAAUGUGUCAUGUAGCGGUGAAAUGCUUAGAUAUGACACAGAACACCGAUUGCGAAGGCAGCUUGCUAAACGAUUAUUGACGCUGAGGCACGAAAGCGUGGGGAUCAAACAGG
rnacentral:rRNA from 1 species